rnacentral:lncRNA from 1 species
CUCCUCCUGUCUUCCAGGCUGCUGAGGAGCACAGCUGAGCUGAAUCCUUCUGAUGACCCACACCUGGGAUAAAAAAGGCUGUGCCUUCAGCAGUCUGGGAGGCAGCAGUGCAGGGGUUCUGCUGUCCUCCAGGUCUCGUUUUGGUUUUAACCCCUUCGUUUUGAUGAGUUGACUUUAAUAGUUUUAACUCUGAGUGAUCCAAACGGAUCUUCGAUUGUUAAGGUUAACUUGUUUUGCUGCAAUUUGAUUGACUCCGGUUUUAAACACCUUCUGUUCGGUAAAGCUUUUAAUAUACGUUUUUACCAGGUGUUUUUAUAGUUGGUAAUUAGUGUAAUGUGAACCUUUUUGAGAGUUUUUGUUUGUUUAGCAUUGUCUUUAUAAUGCUCGCCAUCUGUUUGCUCUUGUUUUUAGAACCUUUUACAACAAUUAAAACCAUUUUAACUCCACCAUCAUAUUUCUUAUGUUAGCCCCUCCUUCGCAUUUUAACAUCUCCUUUCGGGGACGUAACAGCAUGGUUGUUUUUGUAGUUUUGCCUCCAGGUUUCGUGUUCAAAUAAAUUAAUUUGUGAGGAAUAAAUUAACCGAAUAUUGUCGUGGAAAUGUAAGAAGAAGUAAGUGUUUAAAGAUGUGGUUCACUCAUUUAAUAUAUUUAAAGAAGAAGAAGAAAAGAUCUUUUCUAUAGAGCCUCUCAAGAUAAAAAUCACGAGGCGCUUCACAAAAACAAAAAAUGUAACAUAAAAAAAGACUUAGAAAAUGAAUUAAAAUAUAUUUAAAAUGUGCAAAAAUAGACAAUUGUGAUUAAAAAAUGUAAGGAAAGAGAGAAAGUGAAUAGGAAAGAGGGAAAUCCGUGGAUUCUCAGGAAGAUGGAAUAGGUGGGGAGAGCAGAAUAAAGAGAGAGAGGUGAAGAAGGUCAUACAAAGGCCAGCUUGAACAGGUGAGUCUUCAGCUGCUUUUUAAAGGAGACCACUGAGUCCACUGAUCUCAGGCUCAGGGGGAGAGAGGUCCAGAGUCUGGGGGCCACAGCAGCA